GGAGCCGAGCGAGCGGCGGGUGUCCCUGAGAGGCCACCUUUCGACCUUCGAGGGCCAGGAGGAUACGGGGAGGUGGCCGGAGGGAGUUCCCGAACACAGGUCUUCCUGUUCCCGCCGAGCAGGUGUUGGCGGUGCCAGGCCCGGCCUGGCGGGCCCGGGCUGGCAGCCAAAUACCCAGCGUCUGUGCUCGGGACGGGAGUGUUCGUCCAGGACGUGCAGCUCCGGAGCCUGCGCGGGCGACCUUGACCACCUUUGUCGGCUGUUUCCCCCUGAGGGAAGUAUACCUGUCCUGCCAGCCUUGGUCUCUGGCAGGGAAGGUCCUUCCAACAGAGAGGGGUGCGCACGAAUUCCUUUUUGCCGCUCUUCUAUUAAUAGUUUGAGAUUUUCCUCCCCGAUUCCUUGCAGAGAGGGCCUGGUCCUCAAGGACCUCGGGAUCUGGGCGCGACGUCCCUUCCCAGCUUCCUCCCGCGCGCACCGGACCAGAUCUUGCUGUCGUCAGCUGGCUGGUACCCAAAGUUCCUCUUCGUCAGGCUGUUCCUUCCCCGUUAGAGUCCUUCCUCCCCAGGAGCCCUCUCCAUCUGCUGACCUUCAAGACCCAGAGCGAAUGCCACUUCAUCCAUGAAGCCUUCCCUUAACCCUUAUCUGGCCAAAAUGUCUCUUUCCUGUGCUUCUGUACUUUCACAAUUUUAGAAAAUGCCUUUGUGGUUAAAAACCUAUCUCCGGGACCGGACUAUCUAGGUUUAGAUUCUGGCUGCCGCUUACGAAUUUGGGCAGGUUUAGUCAAGUUAUUUUAACCUCUCUGUGGAAGUUCCUGCUCUGUGGAAAUAAUAGUAUUUUCCUCAGAGUUGGUGUGGGGAGUUUGUGAGUUAAUACAUUUACGAAGUGGUUAGUUGCAUGUAAGAAGGACUCUCUAAAUGUCAGCUAUUAUUAACAUUGCAUAUCUGCCACACCCUUCAUAGAUGGUAAACUGCUUUUUUUUUUUUUUUUACUUUUAUUUUAGGUUCGGGAUACAUGCACAGGUUUGUUUUAUAGAUAAAUUGCUUGUCAUGUGGGUUUGUUGUACAAAUUAUUUUGUCACCCAGAUAGUAAGCAUAGUACUUGACAGGUAUUUUUUCUGAUCCUCUCCCUCCUCCCACCCUCUAGCCUCAAGUAGGUCCCAGUGUCUGUUGUUCUCUUCUUUGUGUCCAUGUGUUCUCAAUGUUUAGCUCCCACUUACAAGUCAGAACAUGCAGUAUUUGGUUUUCUCUUCCGCAUUAGUUCACUUAGGAUAAAGGCCUCCAGCUCCAUCCAUGUUGCUACAAAGGACAUGAUCUCUUUCUUUUUUAUGGCUGCAUAGUAGUCCAUGGUGUAUAUGUACCGUAUUUUCUUCAGUCUACUGGUGAUGGGCAUUUAGGUUGAUGCCAUGUCUUUACGAUUGUGAAUAGUGCUGCAGUGAACAUACAUGUACAUAUAUCUUUAUGGUAGAAUGAUUUAUAUUCUUUUGGGUAUAGACCCAAUACUGGGAUUGUUGGGUCGAAUGGUAAUUCUGUUUUAAGUUCUUUGAGAAAUCGCCACACUGCUUUCCGCGGUUACUGAACUAAUUUACAUUCCCACCAGCAUUGUAUAAGCAUUCCCUUUUCUCCACAACCUCACCAGAAACCAGCAUCUGUUAUUUCUUGACUUUUAUUAAUAGCCAUUCUGACUGGUGUGAGAUGAUAUCUCAUUGUAGUUUUGAUUUGGGUUUCUCUAGUGAUUAGUGAUGUUGAGUAUUUUAUAUGCUUGUUGGCCAUGUAGCUUCUUUUGGCUAGGGACCUGUGAGUCUCCCUAGGUUUCUUGCACUUACUAAGCCUUCAACAAAUGGUAGAAGAGUCAAUUCUCUUGGUGUUUCAGAAGAAAACAAUAUCACAGCCCCUCUCCACUGGAUAAUACUAUAAAUCUUAAAAUGAAUUUUCAUUCAGAGUAAUAAACACAAGCCAAAGAACUUUGUAUAACAUCCGUCAACUUUUUGUGUUAUCUAUUUCUUUUCCAAAACAUUGCCUCUGGUUUUAAAGGUAACUGCCCACAGUGUUUCACUAAUAACAUUUUAAGCAUUACAAGUUCAACACUGAAGGUCAAAUGACAACGAACUUUCAGUGCUUCCAAAAGCAGGGGCAGAGGGCAACUGCUGAGGGGGGCAUUGUAUAGCCUAACCUUCCCAGAAUUUGAUUUAAAAGUAUGAUCUUCACAGCGUUGGCCAGCAAUAUCAUGGUCACUCCCUACGUCAUUCCCUGGGAGAAAAACAACCCUAGGUUACCUAAACAAUGUUGGCGAAGACCAAAUAUUUAUUAACAUCCUAAGCCGCCCCAUAAUCAAGCCAAUGCUGAUAGGGACAAAGAAGGUGCCAUGUGCAGUUUUUCUCCAUGUCCCCACAAUAUCUGCUCUGAAUUUUAAAAGGCAAUUACUGGGGGAGAAGGAAGCCUAUAUAUUAUGUAGGAUCCAAGUCUCAAACUGCUUUCCUAGGGAGUGUGAGGUUCUUGGAGAUUAAGUGCAGUACCUUUCUGUCUUGAGCCUUGUAGGCUGCCCCUCUAAUUUAAUGCCAGUCUUGAAAUAAACAGAAUGCUUUCCAAGUCAUCGCUAAUUUUAACACUUUAAAUUUAGAAUUGCUUAGAAUUGACUCAACACUGCCUCCUUGCUGAAUGGAUAAUUCAAGCAAACAACUCAAGAGCUGGAUGCUGCCCAGACAGAAGUCCUCCUAGCAUCUUUCUUCUGCCUUCCCCUGCUCCUGUCCCUGAAACCUUUUCUUCAAAAGAAGUGGAAAAGAGGAACUGGGAACCCAUAUAGCAACAGCAUCACCUGGAAUGAAUUCCUUUAGAACAUACUGUCUUGGAAAUCUGAAGCCUGCAGGGCUGGACAGGCAAGAAGAGCAGUGAGCACUGCAUGAACCUAGUCUUGCUGUGUCGCCCAAGCUGGAGUUCAGUGGCACCAUCCUGGCUCACUGCAACUGCUGCCUCCCAGGUUCAAGUGAUUCUCCUGCCUCAGCCUCCCGAGUAGCUGGGAUUACAUGUGCCUGCCACCACGCCUGGCAAGUUUUUGUAUUUUUAGUAGAAAUGGUGUUUUACCAUGUUGGCCAAGACUGGCCUAGAACUCCAGACCUCAAGUGAUCCACCCGCCUCAGCAGCCCAAAGUGGUGGGAUUACAGGCAUGAGCAACUGUGCCUGGCCUAGCCAUUUUCUAUAAACCUGAAAAUAGAUGCCAGAAAAGAAGGUGCCGCUAUAAAAUGCUUUCUUGAGUGAUUUAUGUCUAACAUACAAUUAAACAUUUAUGAGAAGGAAAUUAUCAGGUUAAAAUAUAAACUCACUUGCCAAUUAUUUGAUUUUCAG
rnacentral:lncRNA from 1 species